AGCAGCCGCGGUAAUUCCAGCUCCAAUAGCGUAUAUUAAAGUUGUUGCAGUUAAAAAGCUCGUAGUUGAAUUUCGGGAUUAAUAUGUUGGUCGUGCCUUGGUACGUACUGGCAUUAUUGAUUCCUACCUUCUGAAGAACCUCGAUGUCAUUAAUUUGGUGUCUUGGGGAAUCAGGACCGUUACUUUGAAAAAAUUAGAGUGUUUAAAGCAGGCUCGCGCUUGAAUACAUUAGCAUGGAAUAAUGAAAUAGGACGUUUGAUUCUAUUUUGUUGGUUUCUAGGAUCGACGUAAUGAUUAAUAGGGAUAGUUGGGGGCAUUAGUAUUCAAUUGUCAGAGGUGAAAUUCUUGGAUUUAUUGAAGACUGACUACUGCGAAAGCAUUUGCCAAGGAUGUUUUCAUUAAUCAAGAACGAAAGUUAGGGGAUCGAAGACGAUCAGAUACCGUCGUAGUCUUAGCCAUAAACUAUGCCGACUAGGGAUCGGAUGAUGUUAAUUUGUUAAUGACUCAUUCGGCGCCUUAC
rnacentral:misc_RNA from 1 species